UGGAAAAUGGUAGAUGCUAUGUCAGGCUCAC
rnacentral:piRNA from 1 species